AAAGAGGAGGUAGGUACAAAUAGGUCGAGUGAGCACAUUCUACUUUAGGUUCUCUCUCUCCUUCUCUCGAUAGAUAUAUAUAUAUACAUACAUACACACACACAUAUAUAUAUGUUUCUAUCUCUCUUGUUGAACACCGCUACAAGAUACUACAGGAAAGACGAUAAAAACAACUCACUAAUACAACUAAUAAUAAUAAAUAAGAAAGGCUACCAAGGUGAAUUGUCGUAGCAGCAAGUAACACCGACCAGCACAGACAAACACUAUGUAUUUCAUGAUGCGGGAUGUUUAAAGUUACAUAGAUCGACAAAAUAGAACAACAGGGACCGGUCGAUUUUGCUAUUCACUGAACCAAUACCACCACCUGUUCUAAAACGAAAUGGUAAAUUUUACAAAAUAUAAUUUAUGGUGAAAGAGUAGGGGGAAAAAAUGAUAAAUAUAAAACGAAACACACAAAGAAAACGCAAAAAAAAGCAAGGUAUUACCGCUGCAUGUUUGUAGAAGUUUUCAACGAAACAAUCCAGGUAAAUGAGAUGAGAUUAAAGAAAAGGCAACAGAAAGGAACAUGAUUUGGUAAUUGCAAUUUGCUAUUCUGAGAAGAGAUACUAGGAGCAGAUAUUAAAUUUCUUGGAAGCAUCUACAACCAAACUAUAGGCAUAAGAUCGAAUAUGUCAUAGUACAGACUCAGGGCCAUAAGGAUGAGGCAUCUAAGAUGCAAAGGUGUAGCUAGGGUGGGGCAAGCAGGGCACAUGCCCUGGGUGCCACUCUGAUGGGGGAUGGGCACAAUUUUGGCCAAGAUCAUUUUCAAAUUAAGCCAUUAAAAAAUAUUUUUAAGCCUU